GAACGCUAGCUACAGGCUUAACACAUGCAAGUCGAGGGGCAGCAUGAACUUAGCUUGCUAAGUUUGAUGGCGACCGGCGCACGGGUGAGUAACACGUAUCCAACCUGCCGUCUACUCUUGGACAGCCUUCUGAAAGGAAGAUUAAUACAAGAUGGCAUCAUGAGUCCGCAUGUUCACAUGAUUAAAGGUAUUCCGGUAGACGAUGGGGAUGCGUUCCAUUAGAUAGUAGGCGGGGUAACGGCCCACCUAGUCUUCGAUGGAUAGGGGUUCUGAGAGGAAGGUCCCCCACAUUGGAACUGAGACACGGUCCAAACUCCUACGGGAGGCAGCAGUGAGGAAUAUUGGUCAAUGGGCGAGAGCCUGAACCAGCCAAGUAGCGUGAAGGAUGACUGCCCUAUGGGUUGUAAACUUCUUUUAUAAAGGAAUAAAGUCGGGUAUGUAUACCCGUUUGCAUGUACUUUAUGAAUAAGGAUCGGCUAACUCCGUG
rnacentral:rRNA from 1 species